rnacentral:rRNA from 1 species
ACGGAAGGCAGCAGCUAAGAAUAUUCCGCAAUGGACGAAAGUCUGACGGAGCGACGCCGCGUGGAUGAUGAAGGUCGGAAGAUUGUAAAAUCCUUUUAUAACUGAGGAAUAAGUAUGGUGAGAGAAACGCCAUAUGGUGACUGUAGGUUAUGAAUAAGCAACGGCUAAUUACGUGCCAGCAGCCGCGGUAACACGUAAGUUGCGAGCGUUGUUCGGAAUUAUUGGGCGUAAAGGGCAUGUAGGCGGUUUUGCAAGCUUGGUGUGAAAUUCCGGAGCUCAACUCCGGAACUGCGUUGAGAACUGCAUAACUAGAGUCACUGAGGGGCAAUCAGAAUUCCUGGUGUAGGGGUGAAAUCUGUAGAUAUCAGGAAGAACACCGAUGGCGAAGGCAGGUUUCCAGCAGACGACUGACGCUGAGGUGCGAAGGUGCGGGGAGCAAACAGGAUUAGAUACCCUGGUA